GUGCUGGUGUCCUACAACCAGGUGCGACACCACGGCCCGAAGCGCACUGACUCGUUCAAGGCCGCACUCAACAUCAUCAGCGAAGACUCCCCUGGUCCCGCGCCGCCGCAGCCGCCGCCGCUCGCCGAUGAUGAUGACGACCGAUACGCAGAUGGUCGCGUCGGCCCCGGCCAGCCGCCUGCCGAGGUGGCGCCCUCUAGCAGGGAGAGUGAGUUUCGUGAGAAGGUGGUUGAUCGUGCGGGUGUGCGGUACGACGAGGUGCUCCAGCUCGUGCAUCUACAGCAGGAGCGACUAACCGAUCAGACGUCACAGCUCAACAACUACGACACAGAGUUGAACUACUGGGACGGCAGAGAGCAGGAGCUACAGGACCAGCUGUCGGCCGUGCUGGUGUGCGUGCGCAACGAGGCGGCGAC